UAAGCGUACACGGUGGAUGCCCUGGCAGUCAGAGGCGAUGAAGGACGUGCUAAUCUGCGAAAAGAGUCGGUAAGGUGAUAUGAACCGUUAUAACCGGCGAUGUCCGAAUGGGGAAACCCAGUGUGAUCCGUCACACUAUCGUUAACUGAAUACAUAGGUUAACGAGGCGAACCGGGGGAACUGAAACAUCUAAGUACCCCGAGGAAAAGAAAUCAACCGAGAUUCCCCCAGUAGCGGCGAGCGAACGGGGAGCAG
rnacentral:rRNA from 1 species